rnacentral:misc_RNA from 1 species
UCUCCGUAGGUGAACCCGCGGAAGGAUCAUUUUGUAUAACCGAGGUGCGAGGGCUGUCGCUGACCCGAAAGGUCGUGCACGCCUGAGUGCCCUCACACACAUCCAUCUCACCCCUAUGUGCACCACCGCGUGGGUCCCCCUUUGGCUUGUUCGGAGGGGGGCUUACGUUUUCACACAAACUUUGUAUGCAGUGUAGAAUGUAUUUUUUGUUUUUGCGAUCACGCAAUCAAUACAACUUUCAACAACGGAUCUCUUGGCUCUC